UGAAGUAGAAAAAACCCCUGGGCCUUUGUGAGGUCAUCACCUAACAACCAGUCCCUGCUGAAGACCAACAAGUCCCCCAAUCACAAGAAGGCUGAGGACAGAGAUGCUCCACACUACUAACCAGAGCUGUAAGAAAGUCUCUCACACAGGAUACAUACUUGAAUCUCUCCCCUAAGGCCACUGCAUGGUCUUGUUUGGGGGUGAGGGGCAGCCACCCAUUUGUCAUUUCAGUCAAGCAAAAAAACAUUCAGGGUUCAAAUCAAGGACACAUGUGAUACCCAGUGGAAUCGUGCACCGGCUAUGGGAGAGGUGGGGGGGAGGAAAAGAAAAUGAUCUUUGUUUCCAAUGAAUAAUGUUUGGAAAUGACCAACUAAAUCAACGUUAAAAAAAAAAACAUUCAGUGCCUACUAUGGGCCAGGCACCAUGUUAAACACUGGGGAUACAAAAAGUUGUCAAGAGACAGUCCUUGCCCUCAAGGAGCUUACAAUCUAAUGGGGAAACCAACAUGCAAAGGGAAAGCACUAGGAUUAAGAGGAGCUGAGGAAUUCCCAAAGAUGGGAUUUUAGCUGGGACUUGGAGGUUAGUACUUGAAAGGGAGAAUGCUUCAAGAGUAAAGGAGAGCCACAUUGCUUCCCUACACACUUGAUUCACAUUAAAUGACAGUGCCUAAAAACAAGGCUCAGCCUAGAUGGAAGGGGGGUAGGGAAAAUGCACACACACCCAGGGACCCGCUGACACGGUCACAGAACUUUCUCCUGCAUUUAACACUACUACUACGCUUGAUUCAAAGCUGCAAAGUCUCGAAGACACAGCUAAUUUCACCUAGAUGGAAACGGAAUUCGUCCAGACAUCGUACCUGUCCUCUGGGCAGUAGAAGGACAGAAAGAACAGAUACAAGGUGGCAGGAGAGUGGCUGUCACAAAAGCACUAAUAAAGAGAAAACCCAAAAGGGAGGGAUGGAAGGAAGAGAGACCAUUGACCUAAAUGGCAGAAGUAUCCAUGGCCCCAAGCUAUAUGUCUACUAAGUAAGUAUCCUUUCAGAAUGGGGCCCAUGAGGUUUUGUAAAUGGAGUCUGGAGAUUCUGG